GAGGUGACGAGUAACGCUGGAGCGAGGGUUUGACCGUCUGACUCUUACUUUAUGCAUAAGUUUUAACCGUUUGUGCCGGUACUCCGGAGGACUGAAUAGUGAAUAGGACGAAACUGCCCUUGGUUUGGCCGGACAGAUAGCGGAAAUUGGGAUUCUGGAAGGGUGGAGCUGGCUAAAGAAUUAGGGUAUCCCUCUUUUCAGGAGAUCCAUUUGGUAAUGAUUCAUGUCAUCUAGCCUCAUCCAUCGGUAGUCGGUACCUAUUACUAACGUCUGUCCAGCCAUAUCCAUUCCCCCUUUUCUUCGAUUAUAAAAUAUUAUUAUUGCUCGAUUCCAUUUGGAUUUAGGUUCUCCCUGCUGUCGUUCAAUGAUUAAAAAUUGAGCCGAAAUGAUUUAGCCUAAUCACUGGCGCAUAUUGCUUAAUUAAUGAAUAUGACAAUUUUUCGUCUUUUGGCUGCAGUUUUUCCUUUGUUGAAAUGGAGUUUCGAAGAAAGGUGGUGUUAACGUGCAAAAGCUGUGACAAAGAUGAUGAGGUUGCUGACACGGCCACGUUUGUAAAAUUUGAAACGGAACAGUGUGGUCCGGGAGGAGAGGCGGAAGGUUUCCUUCUUGUUGGCAUUUUGUAGGGGUGAAUGGGCAUGGCAUGGAGAUUGGAGAGAGGAGGACGGCACGUGUCGCUGUCGACGAACCUCGCUUUGCCGACUUUGUCAGAUACCGGGGCGUUCCAAAACGGGGGUUGAAUAGUUUUAGAGAAAGUGUACAAUAUUGACGUUAUGGGACACGGGGGUUGAGGGAAAAAAUGAUCCAUGUGUUGAAUGGCAUAUUCCGCUGGCUGGGCAGCACGAGACUUCGACAUCUUUGUCUCUGUUGAUGCCGUUGCCGCUGGUCUCCAUGGCUGGCAAUAAUUGGAUCAAGAAACGAUUUAUUCAGAAUCUGGACUUCUCCUAUGGGCCUUGAAAUCGGACUUCAUUAUUCUACCUCCGCUUUUUCAUUAGCACAACGCGAUGCGCAAUGACUUUGAAUUCAACUCUGUUCUGGAAAGUGGACACUUUCAUGGCCGAACGGAAAAGGUGCUUAGUUAAACCCCUCCCCUACUAUAGAUUAGUGUAAAAUUAAGAAUGGGAAUUACAGAUUGAUCCCACAAAAAAAAAAAAAUAAAUAAAUUUAUAGCUUGUGCGUGCCGC
rnacentral:lncRNA from 1 species